rnacentral:rRNA from 1 species
AUGAACGCUGGCGGCGUGCUUAACCCAUGCAAGUCGAACGGAAAGGCCAGUGCUUGCACUGGUGCUCGAGUGGCGAACGGGUGAGUAACACGUGGGUGAUCUGCCCUGCACUUUGGGAUAAGCCUGGGAAACUGGGUCUAAUACCAGAUAGGACCAUGCUUUGGAUGGUGUGGUGGAAAGUUUUUUCGGUGUGGGAUGAGCUUGCGGCCUAUCAGCUUGUUGGUGGGGUAAUGGCCUACCAAGGCGUCGACGGGUAGCCGGCCUGAGAGGGUGUACGGCCACAUUGGGACUGAGAUACGGCCCAGACUCCUACGGGAGGCAGCAGUGGGGAAUAUUGCACAAUGGGCGCAAGCCUGAUGCAGCGACGCCGCGUGGGGGAUGACGGCCUUCGGGUUGUAAACUCCUUUCGCAACUGACGAAGCUUUUUGUGACGGUAGGUUGAGAAGAAGCACCGGCUAACUACGUG